rnacentral:rRNA from 1 species
AUUGAACGCUGGCGGCAUGCCUAACACAUGCAAGUCGAACGGGGCAGCAAUGCCUAGUGGCGGACGGGUGAGGAAUACGUAGGAAUCUGCCCUUAAGUGGGGGAUAACCAGGGGAAACCCUGACUAAUACCGCAUGAUCUCUUCGGAGCAAAGAGGGGGACCGCAAGGCCUCUCGCUUCUGGAUGAGCCUACGUCUGGUUAGCUAGUUGGUAGGGUAAAGGCCCACCAAGGCGACGAUCAGUAACUGGUCGGAGAGGAUGAUCAGUCACACCGGAACUGAGACACGGUCCGGACUCCUACGGGAGGCAGCAGUGGGGAAUAUUGGACAAUGGGCGCAAGCCUGAUCCAGCAAUGCCGCGUGUGUGAAGAAGGCCUUCGGGUUGUAAAGCACUUUAGCCUGGAAAGAAAAAACUUUGGUUAACACCCAAAGUCUUGACGGUACCAGGAGAAUAAGCACCGGCUAACUCUGUGCCAGCCGCCGCAGUAACAC